CGUGCUUAACACAUGCAAGUCGAACGAUGAACCUCGCUUGCGGGGGGAUUAGUGGCGAACGGGUGAGUAACACGUGAGUAACCUGCCCUUAACUCUGGGAUAAGCCUUGGAAACGGGGUCUAAUACUGGAUAUUGACAUUUCAUCGCAUGGUGGUUUGUUGAAAGAUUUAUUGGUUUUGGAUGGACUCGCGGCCUAUCAGCUUGUUGGUGAGGUAAUGGCUCACCAAGGCGACGACGGGUAGCCGGCCUGAGAGGGUGACCGGCCACACUGGGACUGAGACACGGCCCAGACUCCUACGGGAGGCAGCAGUGGGGAAUAUUGCACAAUGGGCGAAAGCCUGAUGCAGCGACGCCGCGUGAGGGAUGACGGCCUUCGGGUUGUAAACCUCUUUCAGUAGGGAACAAGGCCAGUGUUUAGCUGGUUGAGGGUACUUGCAGAAGAAGCGCCGGCUAACUACGUGCCAGCAGCCGCGGUAAUACGUAGGGCGCAAGCGUUAUCCGGAAUUAUUGGGCGUAAAGAGCUCGUAGGCGGUUUGUCGCGUCUGCCGUGAAAGUCCGGGGCUCAACUCCGGAUCUGCGGUGGGUACGGGCAGACUAGAGUGAUGUAGGGGAGACUGGAAUUCCUGGUGUAGCGGUGAAAUGCGCAGAUAUCAGGAGGAACACCGAUGGCGAAGGCAGGUCUCUGGGCAUUAACUGACGCUGAGGAGCGAAAGCAUGGGGAGCGAACAGGAUUAGAUACCCUGGUAGUCCAUGCCGUAAACGUUGGGCACUAGGUGUG
rnacentral:rRNA from 1 species